AAAGAGGCCUGGAAGAUGUGCUGCAGUGAUCUCUGGGGAAAGCUGCUGCAGUUGUGUGAAGCACAUCUCACCUGUGCUGCUUCAGCCCUCAGCUCUCUCAGGAUUUCUUUGGAAAUGAGAUCUUCUCAAAUUCUGUGUGUGCUGUGCUUGGGAGGAAAGGGUUUUUCAGAUGCUGCCUCCAAUGGUAAUGGUGGGAAAGGACUCAAUAUUUCCCUUCUACCUCCUUGCAAUGGUGCUGAUAUA
rnacentral:lncRNA from 1 species